UACGGGGGGGGCAAGCGUUGUUCGGAAUUACUGGGCGUAAAGGGCUCGUAGGUGGCCAACUAAGUCGGAUGUGAAAUCCCCAGGCUUAACCUGGGAACUGCAUCCGAUACUGGAUGGCUUGAAUCCGGGAGAGGGAUGCAGAAUUCCAGGUGUAGCGGUGAAAUGCGUAGAUAUCUGGAGGAAUACCGGUGGCGAAGGCGGCAUCCUGGACCGGCAUUGACGCUGAGUGAGCGAAAGCCAGGGGAGCAAACGGG
rnacentral:rRNA from 1 species